AAUUUGGAUCUCCCUUAGGUAUUUUAUGCACUUUAGGUGGUUACGUUCUUUUGUUUGUUUUUUUCCGCGUGGAAUUUCACGUUUUGUACGGAAAAGUUCACAUUUUUUGCAUUUUAGGGAAUCCCCCAUUUUAUCGACAGUCGGUGUGAAGCAUGACAUGUCUUCCGAACAUCCGAAGACCGGCAUAUUUAAAAGACAAAUGAACGUUCAAAGGAUGUACAGGAUAGAGAUAAAGAAAAGAAGGAUAAAGUCCACGCUGGAUGGGCUGCUUAUCAGAGUCUGCCCUUUUGCCAUCUGUAGAUGAUGAUGACAGCCACUGACUGCUGCACCCCUCAGAACUAGUAGAAAUUCAUCGAGUGCUGGCCGGCGACGAUAUUCUUUGAUCGACUGACCUCGGAUUCAAAUUGACAUGUUGUACAUACGUAGGAGCGAAUAACAGCCGGAGAAUUCCCAAAAACAAAACAAGUCUAGGGCAUAUUUCAAGGUUAUAGGCUACUGUUACAUAUUGGAUGUAAGGCGAACAUCAAAUGUUAAGUAUUCUUGUGUUUAUUGAAGAAGAAGUUGUUUAUUUGGCUGGUUGUGACAUUGGCGAUUCCCAGACGGACGCCAUAUGAUCGUCGUCAUCGUCCGCCAAACAGAUAAAAAUUGAGGCGCGAUCUUCUGCGAAGGAUGACCUGCCAAACCCAUCCAGCCAUUUGAAAAUAUUGAAAUUCAGUACCAAGCUGGAGAACGAGUUCCAUUAAAAAAUUUGUUUGAUUUGGGUCAGUCAGAUUCAAUUCCCUAUUACAAUUUAUCCUGUCGUAUUUCA